rnacentral:rRNA from 1 species
AUGAGACCACAGACUGACCCAUGGUUCUCCAAAUACCUCUUGAGAAUUGGCAAUGGACUGGAGGAGACGAUCGGUGAUGAUUAUGUGCGUCUGCCUGAUGACAUUGUGAUAGGUUACACACCUGGUGACGCACCAGUCAUGAAGCUUGUUGAACACGUGUUCCCAUCUCUUCAUGAGAAUGCAUCAUCCGUUGCCUACAUGAGCACACGUGAUAUUCUUUCUACCAAGAAUGAGCACGUGGACAAUCUACACGCAAAUAUGAUUCAUAGGUUUCCCGGCCAAGAAAAGAUAUACUAUAGCUUUGAUUCCAUCGAUGAUGAUACACACAAUAACUACCCAAUUGACUAUCUGAACAACCUCACUCCAAAUGACUUGCCUCCCCAUAUUUUAAAAGUUAAAGUCAAUUUUCCUGUCAUUCUGCUCUGAAAUCUCGAUCCUAAUAACGUACUUUGCAAUGUGACGAGAUUGAUGAUUAGAGCUUUCCAAAAUAACACAAUCAAUGCCUAGAUUGUUGGUGGACGACAUGCUAGAAAGAGAGUGUUCAUCCCUAGGAUCCCGAUGGCACCCUCGGAGGAUAUUUCACUUCCUUUCAAGUUGAAGAGGAAACAAUUCUCUAUUUGUCUGAGUUUUGCUGUGACCAUAAACAAAGCCUAGGCGCAAACCAUCCCAAUUGUUGGCAUUAACCUUCCGCGGCCUGUAUUCUCGCACGGCCAGCUUUAUGUUGCACUAUCAAGGGGUGUUUCAAGGCAUACAACUCGGGUUCUGGAAAAGCCAAAUAAAGAAAUAGAUCAAACGGGUAAAAGCACCAAGAACAUCGUGUACAAAGAUGUCUUGGAGGGAUAA